CGAAUUUUCCGCGUGUUGAAAAAGUGUUGAAAAUAGAUGAAAAUAGCGGUCAAGAAUGGUGAAUCUUACAGUAAUUUCGUAGGUACUUAUCUUUACUUGUAAGUGAUGUCCUCUUGUAUCAUGUUAGUUCUCGCAUGAUGUUUGUUCACGCGGUCUUCGUGCUUACCUAAAAUGCGGCAUGUUUCCCGAUUGCGUUGAUGCGUUCUUGCGUAAGUAGUGCUUUUCCAUUUCCCACGGUCAUAUUACUUAAACGUUUCUGUGUCAAGAGUAAAUGGAAUGUCUGCCGACUGACUUUUUAACUGCUGGCCACAACCUUUAGGACGUCAACAUGUCAAUAACAAGGAUGCCGGAUCUGAUUGCCGCUCAUGAUUUUGCAAGAAUCAGUGAACCACCGUGGAAAGCAAGUGACAUAUGGAGGAAAAUUACUCAUCUUCGCAUCUUCCGGGAACCCCCACGCAGAAUCAGUUUUCCGAGCAUGCGAGCAGUUGCGAAGAAAAGAAAAUUCAUGCUUCCCCUGUUUCACGAUGAAAUUCGCGCCGUCAUCGACGUUGCUACGAACGGCGCAGCCGACCGUGAAAUGAUUCAGGCAAGUUUUUUCAAUUAUACUGCCUCAAAAGGCUCCACAAUCAAUGGCAUUUUGAAUGCAGUAGUAACCCCUGACACCGAUGUCAUACAUAUAGUAUAG
rnacentral:lncRNA from 1 species